GAUGAAGAACGUAGCGAAAUGCGAUAAGUAAUGUGAAUUGCAGAAUUCAGUGAAUCAUCGAAUCUUUGAACGCACAUUGCGCCCGCCAGUAUUCUGGCGGGCAUGCCUGUUCGAGCGUCAUUACAACCCUCAGGCCCCGGGCCUGGCGUUGGGGAUCGGCGGAGCCCCCCGUGGGCACACGCCGUCCCCCAAAUACAGUGGCGGUCCGCCGCAGCUUCCAUCGCGUAGUAGCUAACACCUCGCGACUGGAGAGCGGCGCGGCCACGCCGUAAAACACCCAACUCUUCUGAAGUUGACCUCGAAUCAGGUAGGAAUACCCGCUGAACUUAAGAAUAUCAAUAAGCGGAGGA
rnacentral:misc_RNA from 1 species